rnacentral:rRNA from 1 species
CCCUUUGAUACUCUGGGCGGCACGCGCGCUACAAUGGAUAACUUAACGUGUUACAUGUCCGAAGGGAUGUAUGCAAAUCACAAAUGUUAUGUCUCGAGUGGGAUAGUUUACUGCAAUUAUAGACUUGAACUAGGAAUCCCUUGUAGGUACACUGAAGCAUAGUGUACCGAAUACGUCCCUGCCGUUUGUACACACCGCCCGUCGUUUCUUCCGACUGAUACUCAUUGUGAAUUGCGGGGAUAACGUUGUUGAAAACCGUUGUAAAUGCUGGGUAUUGGAGGAAGAAAAAGUCGUAACA